rnacentral:tRNA from 1 species
GGCGAGGUAGCUCAGAUGGUUAGAGCAUGCGGCUCAUAUCCGCAGAGUCGGGGGUUCAAUUCCCUCCCUCGCUACCA